rnacentral:rRNA from 1 species
AUACGUAGGGCGCAAGCGUUGUCCGGAAUUAUUGGGCGUAAAGAGCUCGUAGGCGGUCAGUCGCGUCUGCUGUGAAAACCCGAGGCUCAACCUCGGGCCUGCAGUGGGUACGGGCUGACUAGAGUGCGGUAGGGGAGACUGGAAUUCCUGGUGUAGCGGUGGAAUGCGCAGAUAUCAGGAGGAACACCGAUGGCGAAGGCAGGUCACUGGGCCGCAACUGACGCUGAGGAGCGAAAGCAUGGGGAGCGAACAGGAUUAGAUACCCUGGUAGUCCAUGCCGUAAACGUUGGGCACUAGGUGUGGGACUCAUUCCACGAGUUCCGUGCCGCAGCUAACGCAUUAAGUGCCCCGCCUGGGGAGUACGGCCGCAAGGCUAAA